CCUACGGGUGGCAGCAGUGAGGAAUAUUGGUCAAUGGACGAGAGUCUGAACCAGCCAAGUAGCGUGAAGGAUGACUGCCCUAUGGGUUGUAAACUUCUUUUAUAUGGGAAUAAAAUGUUCCACGUGUGGGAUUUUGUAUGUACCAUAUGACUAAGGAUCGGCUAACUCCGUGCCAGCAGCCGCGGUAAUACGAAGGAUCCGAGCGUUAUCCGGAUUUAUUGGGUUUAAAGGGAGCGUAGGUGGAUUGUUAAGUCAGUUGAUAAAGUUUGCGGCUUAACCGUAAAAUUGCAGUUGAAACUGGCAGGCUUGAGUACAGUAGAGGUGGGUGGAAUUCGUGGUGUAGCGGUGAAAUGCUUAGAUAUCACGAAGAACUCCGAUUGCGAAGGCAACUCACUGGACUGCAACUGACACUGAGGCUCGAAAGUGUGGGUAUCAAACAGGAUUAGAUACCCUAGUAGUC
rnacentral:rRNA from 1 species